CGCUGUUAUCCCUAAGGUAAUUUAGUCUUAUAAUCAUUAAAAAUGGAUCAAAAACUUAUAAAUAAAUAUAAAAAAAAUAAAAAGAGUUAUAUUAAUCUUCCCAUCACCCCAACAAAAUUUAAAUAAUAUUAAAAUUAUUACCCCACAAAAAAUAAAAAAUUAAAUUAAACUCUAUAGGGUCUUCUCGUCCCAAAAAAUUAUUUAGGCAUUUUAACCUAAAAUUUAAAUUCAACAAAAUAAAAAUUUAAGAAAGUAUAUACCUCGUCAAACCAUUCAUUCCAGCAUUCAAUUAAAAAACUAAUGAUUAUGCUACCUUUGCACAGUCAAAAUACUGCGGCCAUUUAAAAAUCAGUGGGCAGGCAAUACUUCAAAUAAAUUACAAGAAGAGAUGUUUUUGUUAAACAGGCG
rnacentral:rRNA from 1 species